rnacentral:rRNA from 1 species
CCUACGGGAGGCAGCCGGGGGGAAUAUUGGACAAUGGGGGCAACCCUGAUCCAGCACAUGCCGCGCUGAUGCUGAGUGAAGGCCCUAGGGUCGUAAAGCUACUUU